rnacentral:rRNA from 1 species
UCGUACCAGGGUACCCGUAAGCUUGCUCUCUGGGUGGCGAGUGGCGGACGGGUGAGGAAUACAUCGGAAUCUACCUUUUCGUGGGGGAUAACGUAGGGAAACUUACGCUAAUACCGCAUACGACCUUAGGGUGAAAGCGGAGGACCUUCGGGCUUCGCGCGGAUAGAUGAGCCGAUGUCGGAUUAGCUAGUUGGCGGGGUAAAGGCCCACCAAGGCGACGAUCCGUAGCUGGUCUGAGAGGAUGAUCAGCCACACUGGAACUGAGACACGGUCCAGACUCCUACGGGAGGCAGCAGUGGGGAAUAUUGGACAAUGGGCGCAAGCCUGAUCCAGCCAUGCCGCGUGGGUGAAGAAGGCCUUCGGGUUGUAAAGCCCUUUUGUUGGGAAAGAAAAGCAGUCGGUUAAUACCCGAUUGGGUCUGACGGUACCCAAAGAAUAAGCACCGGGCUAACUUUCGUGCCAGCAGCCGGCGGGUAAUACGAAGGGGUGCAAGCGUUACUCGGAAUUUACUG